rnacentral:rRNA from 1 species
UCGCUAGUAAUCGCGGAUCAGCACGCCGCGGUGAAUACGUUCCCGGGCCUUGUACACACCGCCCGUCACACCAUGGAAGUCUGCAAUGCCCGAAGCCGGUGGCCUAACCACUUACGUGGAAGGAACCGUCUAAGGCAGGGCAGAUGACUGGGGUGAAGUCGUAACAAGGUAAC